AAAAAACACAAGAGACGGAAUGGAGCUGAGUUGCACAAGAGAUCUGAACCCGAAUUGCAGAACGGUGACUGGGAUGACAAGCAAGGAGCCAACAGCUUUUCAGCUUCAGAAGAUGUGGAGCCAGACUCAUCCACCUCCUGAAUAUUUUGGUUUCGGAAAUGAGGCUGAAUAAUCCUUUUCUAACAGUGGAGCUUUAGCUUGUCCUCCAU
rnacentral:misc_RNA from 1 species